rnacentral:rRNA from 1 species
CGAGAGGGUGCAAGCGUUAAUCGGAAUUACUGGGCGUAAAGCGUGCGUAGACGGUUAUUUAAGUCGGGUGUGAAAGCCCCGGGCUCAACCUGGGAAUUGCAUUCGAGACUGAAUAGCUAGGGUGCGGAAGAGGGAAGCGGAAUUUCCGGUGUAGCGGUGAAAUGCGUAGAUAUCGGAAGGAACACCAGUGGCGAAAGCGGCUUCCUGGUCCCAGCACCGACGUUCAGGCACGAAAGCGUGGGGAGCAAACAGGAUUAGAUACCCUGGUAGUCCACGCCAUAAACCGAUGAGAACUAGACGUUGAGAGGGUAAGCCUCCCAGUGUCGAAGCUAACGCGAUAAGUUCUCCGCCUGGGGAGUACGGCCGCAAGGUUG